rnacentral:rRNA from 1 species
AACGACGCUGGCGGCACGCCUCAUACAUGCAAGUCGUACGAGAAAGUCGGCUUCGGCCGAUGAGUACAGUGGCGCACGGGUGAGUAGCGCGUGGGUAAUCUGCCCCCCGGUCAGGAAUAACCCGCCGAAAGGCGGGCUAAUACCCGAUAACACUGACCGCUCCGCGGAGCGUCUUUCAAAGGAGGCCUCUGUUUACAAGCUUUCGCCGGAGGAUGAGCCCGCGUACCAUUAGCUAGUUGGCAGGGUAAUGGCCUACCAAGGCUGCGAUGGUUAGCUGGUCUGAGAGGAUGGCCAGCCACACUGGAACUGAGACACGGUCCAGACUCCUACGGGAGGCAGCAGUGAGGAAUCUUGCGCAAUGGGGGAAACCCUGACGCAGCAACGCCGCGUGAGUGAGGAAGGCCUUCGGGUCGUAAAGCUCUGUCAGAUGGGAAGAAAUGGGUGGGGGCUAAUAUCGCCCAUCCUUGACGGUACCAUCAGAGGAAGCACCGGCUAACUCCGUG